AGGGGCAGCACGAUGUAGCAAUACAUUGGUGGCGACCGGCGCACGGGUGAGUAACGCGUAUGCAACCUACCUAUCAGAGGGGAAUAACCCGGCGAAAGUCGGACUAAUACCGCAUAAAACAGGGGUUCCACAUGGAAAUAUUUGUUAAAGAAUUAUCGCUGAUAGAUGGGCAUGCGUUCCAUUAGAUAGUUGGUGAGGUAACGGCUCACCAAGUCCACGAUGGAUAGGGGUUCUGAGAGGAAGGUCCCCCACACUGGUACUGAGACACGGACCAGACUCCUACGGGAGGCAGCAGUGAGGAAUAUUGGUCAAUGGGCGAGAGCCUGAACCAGCCAAGUCGCGUGAAGGAUGAAGGAUCUAUGGUUUGUAAACUUCUUUUAUAUGGGAAUAAAGUGAGGAACGUGUUCCUUUUUGUAUGUACCAUAUGAAUAAGCAUCGGCUAACUCCGUGCCAGCAGCCGCGGUAAUACGGAGGAUGCGAGCGUUAUCCGGAUUUAUUGGGUUUAAAGGGUGCGUAGGUGGUUAAUUAAGUCAGCGGUGAAAGUUUGUGGCUCAACCAUAAAAUUGCCGUUGAAACUGGUUGACUUGAGUAUAUUUGAGGUAGGCGGAAUGCGUGGUGUAGCGGUGAAAUGCAUAGAUAUCACGCAGAACUCCGAUUGCGAAGGCAGCUUACUAAACUAUAACUGACACUGAAGCACGAAAGCGUGGGGAUCAAACAGGAUUAGAUACCCUGGUAGUCCACGCAGUAAACGAUGAUUACUAGCUGUUUGCGAUACACAGUAAGCGGCACAGCGAAAGCGUUAAGUAAUCCACCUGGGGAGUACGCCGGCAACGGUGAAACUCAAAGGAAUUGACGGGGGCCCGCACAAGCGGAGGAACAUGUGGUUUAAUU
rnacentral:rRNA from 1 species